GACGAACGCUGGCGGCGUGCUUAACACAUGCAAGUCGAACGGUGAAGCGCCUUCCUUUUUGGUGGGUGUGGAUGAGUGGCGAACGGGUGAGUAACACGUGAGUAACCUGCCCCCUUCUUCUGGAUAACCGCAUGAAAGUGUGGCUAAUACGGGAUAUUCUGGGUCUGUCGCAUGAUGGGUCUGGGAAAGAUAUUGUUUCGGUGGGGGAUGGGCUCGCGGCCUAUCAGGUUGUUGGUGGGGUGAUGGCCUACCAAGGCGGUGACGGGUAGCCGGCCUGAGAGGGUGGACGGUCACACUGGGACUGCGACACGGACCAGACUCCUACGGGCGGCAGCAGUGGGGAAUAGUGCACAAUGGGCGCAAGCCUGAUGCAGCGACGCCGCGUGAGGGAUGGAGGCCUUCGGGUUGUGAACCUCUUUCGCCAGUGAAGCAGGCCUGCCUCGUUUGUGGGUGGGUUGACGGUAGCUGGAUAAGAAGCGCCGGCUAACUACGUG
rnacentral:rRNA from 1 species